AGAGUUUGAUCCUGGCUCAGGAUAAACGCUAGCGGCAGGCCUAACACAUGCAAGUCGAGGGGCAGCGGGUGGAGUAUUUCGGUACUCCUGCCGGCGACCGGCGCACGGGUGCGUAACGCGUAUGCAACCUACCUUUAACAGGGGGAUAAUCCGAAGAAAUUUGGUCUAAUACCCCAUAAUAUCAUUUAAGGCAUCUUAGAUGGUUGAAAAUUCCGAUGGUUAGAGAUGGGCAUGCGUUGUAUUAGCUAGUUGGUGAGGUAACGGCUCACCAAGGCUACGAUACAUAGGGGGACUGAGAGGUUUUCCCCCCACACUGGUACUGAGACACGGACCAGACUCCUACGGGAGGCAGCAGUGAGGAAUAUUGGUCAAUGGACGCAAGUCUGAACCAGCCAUGCCGCGUGCAGGAUGAAGGUGCUAUGCAUUGUAAACUGCUUUUGUACGAGGGUAAAUGCAGGUACGUGUACCUGUUUGAAAGUAUCGUACGAAUAAGGGUCGGCUAACUCCGUGCCAGCAGCCGCGGUAAUACGGAGGACCCGAGCGUUAUCCGGAUUUAUUGGGUUUAAAGGGUGCGUAGGCGGAUUAGUAAGUUAGAGGUGAAAGCUCGAUGCUCAACAUCGAAAUUGCCUCUGAUACUGUUAGUCUAGAGUAUAGUUGCGGAAGGCGGAAUGUGUGGUGUAGCGGUGAAAUGCUUAGAUAUCACACAGAACACCGAUUGCGAAGGCAGCUUUCCAAGCUAUUACUGACGCUGAUGCACGAAAGCGUGGGGAGCGAACAGGAUUAGAUACCCUGGUAGUCCACGCCGUAAACGAUGAUAACUCGUUGCAGGCGAUACACAGUCUGUGACUUAGCGAAAGCGUUAAGUUAUCCACCUGGGGAGUACGUUCGCAAGAAUGAAACUCAAAGGAAUUGACGGGGGCCCGCACAAGCGGAGGAACAUGUG
rnacentral:rRNA from 1 species